rnacentral:rRNA from 1 species
UACGUAGGGGGCUAGCGUUGUCCGGAAUCAUUGGGCGUAAAGAGCGUGUAGGCGGCCCGGUAAGUCCGCUGUAAAAGUCAAAGGCUCAACCUUUGAAUGUCAGUGGAUACUGCCGGGCUAGAGUCCGGAAGAGGCGAGUGGAACUCCUGGUGUAGCGGUGGAAUGCGCAGAUAUCGGGAAGAACACCUGUGGCGAAGGCGGCUCUCUGGGACGGUACUGACGCUGAGACGCGAAAGCGUGGGGAGCAAACAGG